rnacentral:lncRNA from 1 species
AAACGGGCGGGCGCGCGCCGCGGAGGGCGGACGGAUCUGGCACGCGUUCUCGCGUGGGUCGCCCUAGUCCCUCAGGGCGGGUGUGUUGGACAUCCAGAAGACGGCUUUCCGACCCAUUGAGUUAGGAACUCUGUCCCAACCCCGCCUGGGACCUAUGGCCUUCAUCACAAAUGGUGGAGUUGGAAGGAAGUUCUUGAGAUGAGAAAAUUGUACAGAAGAGCAAAAAAGUGACUCUCAGGUAUUUGGGGGAUCCAUAUACUAAAAAUGUUUUGGGAGCAAUGGAGAUGGCUCAGCAGGUAAGGACACUUGCCACCAAACCUGAUGGCCUGAAUUUAAUUCCCAGAACUCAACGUGGUGAAAGAAGAGAUUGAAUUGUACUCUGACCUCUAUACAAAUUCACAUACAUACAUUAAUAAAUGUGAAAUUUUAAUAAAAAUGAGGACAUGAUGGCUCUAAACUAUACUGUCCACAAAGAGACUGGGAACGUCAGUCUUCUGGUCUGUUCAUGGUGUGUCAUUAUAGAAUAUUACAAGUUUCUUUUAUGUUUCAGUUUAUCCAAACAGCUAAACCUUAACAAAGUUAGCAAAUACAAAGAGACUAGGCAUAUACCUUCAAGUCAGUUAGUGUUAACCUGAGUAGACCUUCAGGAAUUGAUGAGCCUUAUUUAUCAGAGAUAGCUUAUUCAUCCAACACAAGUUAUUACUUAUCUAAAAUUUUCUAGAAGCUUGGUGUUGAACAGUCAGCAAAAAUAUAAGUGGUUAGACAUCAGUCUCUAAGUCUUAAUUCUUUCUCAAUGUCUUCAUCCCCAAUCUCUCUUACUUGAUUUGAUCCUACUUGAAGCAACAGUACUCAUGUUUCCACCCAGUUUUUUUUUUCUCACUGGCUACAUUACUAUUGAUCAUUUCUUUGUACACACUAAUCAGGCCCUGUCAAAUUAAUUGGUAGAAAAUACAACUUAUUUUAUCACAGAUUCAUUAAACAUUUUGCACU